CUCCUUACACAUUCAUCUCUCCGUAUCCUACACACAACCAAUCAUGUUUAUGAGGCUCCCUAGCUAGGAGAACUUGAGAUGGGUUACUCUGUAAUGGUGCUAAGGAUGAAGAUCGGAUUCCCCCUCCUCGUCCUCUUCCUCCUCCUUUCCUUCCGCGUCGACCCUGCAAUGAGCAGCAAUGACUAUAUUGAUAGCUACUGCAACACGGACAUCAAUUACAUUGACGGAAGCGAGUUUCAAACGAACAUGCGCCUCGCCUUUGCCACUUUGAUAGCGGAUGUCAAUCCCCUUGGUUUCUCCAAUGCCACACAGGGGGAAGGAUCGGAUAGAGUGUAUGCCAUGGCGCAGUGCAGGGGCGACGUUGGUCAGAAUACCUGCAAGGAGUGCAUCGACACUUCGACCCAAAAGGUCAACGACACAGACUGCACCCACCCCAUGGAAGCCAUCAUAUGGUAUGAAAACUGCCAGCUCCGCUACUCCAACACCGACUUCUUUGGUAUCCUCGAUGUCGCACAUUCUGGGUAUAAUAGUUGGAACGAUGACGUGGUGGCUGACGAGUCCUUCAACGAGCAGCUGGGCAGUCUGCUUCAGAAUCUAACUUCUCUAGCAACAACACCAAGAGAGCCAGCUUCAAAGUUAAUGUUUGCCACGGGCAACAUCCUCUACACCGAUCUGCAGACAAUAUACGGGCUAGUGCAGUGUACCGGAGAUACCAGCGUUGCUGAUUGUAAGCAGUGUUUGGACACCACCAGGUCCCAGAUACCAACAACGGAGUUUUGCGAUCAUUCAACCGGCUGUGAAAUUGUCACCGGAAGUUGCCGUUUGAGGUACGAUACGAAGCUCUUUUAUGAAACCACAACAACUUCAAUCCCUUCUCCUCCGCCACCUCCAGCAGAUUCAAGCCCAAGCCCAUCCCUCCCGCCCAAUUCAGCACCUCUAUCAAGUCCAGAGCCAAGCGUAUUAACUCCUCCGCCCAAUUCAGCACCUGUAACAUCCAACACUACUACAUCAGACAAGCGGAACCACUCAAGCGGCACAUCUGUGGCUAUAAUAACCAUCAUUACUUUUGCGUUCACGACUACAGAUCUACUCGCGAUGCCGUCGUGGUUAUAACUAGGCCCACCAUAAUCGGUUUGUUUGAUCAUAUUACAAGUUUAUGUCGUGUGAUUUUUUCAUGUGUGAUCUGUCAGUGUAUUUCUUUGUUCUUUUUUGUUGUUGCCAAUGUUACGAGAUUUAUGGAGGAAGAUUGACAUCAAGAUUGGCAAGCAUAUUACGAUUGAUCAGAUAAGGGAAAGAAAUUCUCCCUUUUGCAUAACCGUUCUCUUGGCUCGCCAAAAUCAAAGUGUAUAAAUCUCCCUUCUCUCUUUGAUUGUAAGAACCACGUAAAUUCUUGCUGUUUCUCCUUGUUCCUCUUAUGGUUUUUUAACAGCCAACAGCACUCAGGCAGACUCCGGUUGUUAAUGGUUGCUUCUCACGAGAACGGCCUCGUCGUCCAACGUCAUUAGUCCACUCAACUUUCAGUUCCUAAAUGUCCAAGCAUCAUUUGGGUCGUCAUCAUUUCGGAGAUUGUAGUUAUCGUCUUUUAAUAGGAGUUAUAACGCUGGGCUGGUAAGUUCUUUGGUCUGACUAAGAAGAUUGACUUGUAUGGGAAUUAAUCGAAUCAUGACGACCAUGACGAGAUGACACCAACUUGUUUCAUAAAUUUGUAUUUGGUUAAUUCAUACUUUAACGGAUGUCAUAGUAGUGCCAUCCUUGGUUUAUAGAUGAUAGCUGAAAUGAAGGAUACCAGCAGAGCGUAAUGCGUAUCCUUGGUUCUCUUUUACUUGCUCGUGGGUCGAAGACAAUAAAAGAUAGCUUCUGCCACGAUCAUUCUCAUGAAAAGGUCUGUGGUGGAUAAAAUGGUAAAAGUUGUUCCUCUUUUAGCAGAAUACUUUUAUAAUAUAAUAAGAGGAGGCAAAUGUUUUCAAGGGAAAAAGAGAGGGAUCGGCAGUCUGUGAUAGCCUUUCCGUGCUUCUCUAGUUCUGCAGCCUUCCAACAUGACGAGGUUCUUGUCGAUGAGAAGGACUGCAAGAGAGCCAGGAGUCCAGAGCCAGGACUCCUUUCCUCCACCUGAUUCCCUCAGCUGUUGGUGAAGCGGAGAGCAAACAGAGGCGUCCCUGCCUACUCGAACGCGAUCUUAUCCUAGACCACGAGAUCGGAAGCAAUGUUGUUUUCUCACUUUUAGAGUUCUUCUCAUCCAGCCUCAAGAAUGCCGGUGGAUUUUUUCAUGGGGCAAACAUUAAGGAAUGGCUGAAGAGAGACAGUUCCUCCACUUGAUGAUUUAUGUUGGACAGGGAGAAGCAGAAAAAGGGUCAGUGUUGCCGAUGGGGGUGCAAGGAGGUGUGAGGAUAAAUUCUCUCUCUCUCUCUCUCUCUCUCUCUCUCUCUCUCUCUCUCUCUCUCUCUCUCGUUCGGAAAACACUAGCUUCCUUCAUUGCUGUGGCUUUGGAUUUUAAGCCGAGGAAUGCGACAGAUCUCUUUUGUGUUUUGUGCAUUUUUUUCCCCAUUGCAUCUCUUAAGCCUUGCUGUUCGUUGCUUCAUGAGGUUAUUCAUACCUACUGAAUUUGUUAGAUAUUUAGUGCAUGAGUAUGAAGUCUGCGGCUGUAUUGGUGCAAUUUUUAACUCACCAAAGCAAGAAGCUUCCUACUGAAAUAAUGGACUUCUGAUUAAUCACGUAGAGUGGAGCCUGAAGUAACUUGGUAAGAUCACCAGAACAUCAACAUAUUCAAUGGGCUCAAUAAUCGGCUUCAUGAGCUUGAGAUGAAAGCGGCCACGGUGUCAUUUUUUUUGUUUUCCUUUUCCUUUUUGACUUUGUACUUUCUGUUUACUGUUAGAUUUUGGUCCUCAUUUUCUUUAGAAAUUAGAGAAUAUGAUAGUUAUCCUUGGUAUGUACUGCUGGAUUCCUAUUCUUGGCGGGUAAAUUUAAGAUAUCCAUGUUGUCCUGCAUAUGUUCUUUUCUGAAGCUCCAGAUGUUGUUAGUGGUAGUGGACACGAAUCAUGUUAAGCAUGAAAGUGUAUGCAUUUAGGAUAGAGAUCAUUGUAUUUGAGCCUUUUCAAGGGAAGUUUGCAUAGUAAUCAGAUUGCACAUAAAAUUUUCUUACCCUGCACGUAAAGAAUGAUAGCAUAAAAUAUCAAUUUGUGAAUACAAAUACUACAGAUGUAUACAAAGGUCAUACUGUCAAGUGUCUACAAUUUGUUUUUAACAGCUGAAAGCCUGAAAUGUAGUUGAUAAGCAAAAGUUCAACCACAAAUUCUGUCUAUCGAGAAAAGAUGAAGAACUGAAAAGUUCAACAACUGGAAAGAAGAAUUAUUUUCAGUGGAAGGACAAAAAUUGAUAAGCAAACGUUCACAGGCAUAUAGUUGCUAACAUUCCCUACGGCCCAUCUGCCUUGGCUGUCAAGGAAGCAGCGUGGGGACUUGCUUGUCAUGCUACAAUUUAUCAUCAUGAGAAGAUUUGAUUUGAUGCCAGGUCGAUCGGAUACAAUAAUAUUAAUCGCUUAGUAUAAAAAACCCAAACAGUUGUAAGUCGAAAAAAAAACAAAUUUGUACAAAAAAACCAAACAGUUGUAAGUCGAAAAAGAAACAAAAUUAGUACAAAAAACCAAACAGUUGUAAGUUGAAAAAAGAAACAAAAAAAAAGUCGAAAAAGAAACAAAACUAACAAAGAGUAGCUGGGUUGAAGAAAAACAAAUAGAUGAACUGGAGCUAAAAUAAACCUCAUCCAUCCCAUCUAUUUGUUUGGACAUUUUAUUAUUAUUUAUUUGUUUUUUAUUUAUUUGUUUUAUUUAUUCAUGUUUGCUAACUUAUAACUAAUAUAUGGAACCCGAGCUUGGCCACUUUAUUGCGGAUCAAACACUAAAGAAGAGGUCCACGAGAAUGUUAACAAUGGCCCGGGCAUUGCGGGUUUCAUUUAAUUAACACGUCGAUGAAUGGAGACAUUUUUAAAUUUUGACCACCAGAGCACGUGGGGUCGUGGAGCCAGCAAGUUCUGUGAACAGCACGAUUGGAGAGCCGUUGGAAGUCAAAUGGAGGCCGUUCACCAAUUUAAACAAAUGUGCGCCGACCAGCGGUCUCUCUCUCUCUCUCUGCCCUCCCCCCGAGUGUGCGCAGAAGGGAUGUCAUUUGGGAAUGACAGAGUAUGUGCAGAGGCUAAUGGUGGCCGCCGCUGCCACUUUCAUCCGUUAGCGAGGAUCAGAAGGAGUGGAACGAUAAUCUCAUGGACAUGGCGACGUCGGGUGUCUCCAGCGUCUCAUGGCUCAUAUGCAGAUACCAGCAGGGUUUCAACGCCAUCGAUGCUUCUAUUACUUUGUUCACCAUUUUGGUGGGCUUCAAUCUUGAAGCGAUUUGCCGGAGACAAGGUAGCAGGGUUUCAACGCCAUCGAUGCUUCUAUUACUUUGUUCACCAUUUUGGUGGGCUUCAAUCUUGAAGCGAUUUGAUCCUCGAUUCUCUUUUAAGACAAGGUCGGUCAUCUCUUGCUCUCUCAUCCAUAUGGCAGUGUUGCGUUCUUUGUAGAUAUUUUGUUAUAUUAUUCAUAAUCUUAUGGGAUAAUUGAGGGAUCUUGAGUCAGAUUCCUUUCUUGGUGUUUCUGGAUGUAUUUUAUGGGAGAUAUACCAGCAGAGCGUCAAUGCCUAUCCUCGAUUCUCUUUUACUUGGUUCAUCUUGCUCGUGGGUCGACUACAAUAGAAGAUAGCUUCUGCCACGAUCAUUCCCAUGGAAAGAGGAGUGGUGCUUCGUACUUUGCAAGGAACAUUGGCAUUUUCAAGUUUCAAGAGAUAUGACAUUAGAAUUUUGCCAAGCAUCAAGUAUGGUUCACUUUUCAGAAAACACAGCUUUCAUUCAAAGAGGUGAUUAAUUAUAUGUGAAGGAGAAAAGGACAUUAAAGUAAUGCAAUUGGAUUCAAUAUCUAAAAGGGCAGCAGCUUUGGUAAUGAAGGCAGUAUGGAAUUCUAUAUCGAUGAAUCAUUUCCAAGCUCGUGCAACAAUCCUUUGGUCGUUAAAGC